GGGACCCCUCGAGGGGUGUCUGACUGCCUGUUUAGGCCCGAUCCCACUAGCUCGAUCCUGGUGGGAUCGGGCCUAAACAGGCAGUCAGACAUCCCUCUCACAA
rnacentral:pre_miRNA from 1 species